CACAAUUGGCGUAUACAAUUAAACGCUGUGGCUGCGCGUAAGAACAUUUUUUUGCGUUUUUAUUAUUAUUUCGUGAUCUAUGUUGCAGACAAUAGACUAUAUUAUUUGUUGUACUGUAUGCGACGCUAAGUUCGUGUCUAUUUUUAUUAAAGGUAAGUUUGAUGUCUAAAAUUACAGGUAACGUUAAGUGGUUUAAUGAGUCUAAAGGAUUCGGUUUUAUCACUCCAGCUGAUGGCAGCAAAGAUGUUUUUGUUCACUUUUCCGCGAUUAAAUCUGAAGGGUUCAAAACUCUUGCUGAAGGGCAAAAAGUAGAGUUUGAAAUUACUGAGGGUGAGAAAGGCCCAUCUGCUGCAAACGUUGUCGCGAUCUAAUUUCUAAUCCCAUAUUUCGAAAAACCCGUUUUUAUAGCGGGUUUUUUUAU
rnacentral:sRNA from 1 species